UACGAGGGGUCCAAGCGUUGUUCGGAAUUACUGGGCGUAAAGCGGGUGUAGGCGGCUUGGUCAGUCGGAUGUGAAAGCCCAGGGCUCAACCCUGGAAGUGCAUCCGAUACUGCCAAGCUUGAAUACUGGAGAGGGAAGUGGAAUUCCUGGUGUAGCGGUGAAAUGCGUAGAUAUCAGGAGGAACAUCGGUGGCGAAGGCG
rnacentral:rRNA from 1 species